UUAUUUUUAAGGAUGCAGCGCGAGCAGGCAUCUCUCAACUGGUGUGUGACCAGAGUUAUACUGUUCAGCUAGUCGCUAGUGAGAGUGUUUCAUUCCGAAGAAAUGCUGGUUCAAGUGGAGUGUAAAGGGAACCCGAAAUGGAUCCGAAUACCAGUGGAAAAAUGACUGUUUUGACUUCUGUGAAUUAAUUAAAGAAGCUUUAGCAAAGUUCAACUUGCCGCAUGGAGCCAAUGUGGUUCUUAAAGACUCUGCAGGAGUUGAUGCUGAUAUUUUUGAUGAGCUUGUGAGAACAUCUAAGGUGUCCUUCAAAAUUUUGGAUUGUGAUACAGCAGAUAAUGUUCCACAAGCUGAGACCGAUUUCUCUGAGCCGUCAUGCCCCGAGUCGUCAUUUUCAUCAGUAAAAUCAGAAAGUUCAGAUUCCACAGUGAUUCCGCGAUCUUCAAAGGCACUGAUACAUGAUCCAGACAAAUCUUCACUCAUCCUUGAUUACUUUCCCCGAUUUUUGGAUACACCAGGCUUGAUUGACCAAGACUUUACUGUGCUUUUUGGAGAGGACAUUUCAAGCAAGUUUAUUGCAAAAUGGCCAACAUUCUACAAGCCAAGAAUAAUUGCUGACUGCAAAAACCUGCAUCAUGGUGCACAUGUGGAUGACCUUUUGUCUGCUCUGUAGGAGUCUGAUUAUGGAUGGGACAGUGAUGUGGCUGCUAUUCUCUUGCUCCUUCAUCUCUUGCCUCCAACUGUAAAAGGAAGGAAGACUGGGAAAAUCAGUGCAACAGAAGCAGCUGAUCAUGUUGUAAAGUUCAUGAAGGUGGGGACAAGCAUCAAGGCAUUUCUUGAGCGAGUUGGAUCUACACAGCCCUUCCUCCUCUGUGUUGGAGAAAAGAGGAGUAGCAUUCAGAAGUUUUACAUCAUCCUGGACCAGAAGGCCAUUCCCCGCAUGGUGCAGACAGCUGUUGCAGCCUUUGAUGAACUCUUUAAGGCACACGUUGUCUUUGCUGUAUCGUAUGAUGAGGCCUUGUGCAACUUCUACACGUUCAUUUAAACAACGGUGUAUGGAAUUGAUGUGGGCACAGCCAAGGAAAGUCCAAGGGUCAAGGAAAUCCAUGUGAGAAUUCACAACACUGAGGUUUGACUCCCCCUUCCCCCCAGCAUCUUGCUCAAAUGUUCUUAUGCUGUCUUUGCAAGGUACACCACAGAAGUUGUUCAAGUUUGUUUCAGCAUCUGAAGUUUCAUCAUGGUUUGUAUCCAGGGCGUUCAUUACGGUUGAAAUGUGGCGAACCUGGAUGUUCAUCUGUUUUUUUUUUUUUUUUUAAGAAGUCUGUAAAAAACUUUAAAAACAUAACCAAAACAUUGGCCAAGAAACAUCAACAUCAGUUGGCUUUUCAUUGGGAGAGUUUUUAUUUUAAAAGAUUUCAGUUUGGUCCUUUUAAUGAAGUCUCUACUUGCACUCUGGAGGGUAACAAGCUUUUAACUGAAACUUGGAAUGUACCCACUGUCUCCACUACAACCUGGGUAAAAAACUAUGGAACUGAAUACCAAGUUGGAAUGUUUGUUUGCUCUUCUGUUGAAAAUGAAAUGCCUGUUUUUAAUAAGAUUAGCAGUAUUAUUGUGAAAGAUGGACAAGCUUUUCUUUUGGCCGGUAAUGUAAUUACAGUGUGUUUUGAUGAGCAUGUGCAUGCAUUCUGUAUUGAGGAGGUGGGAAAUAUUUUCACUCUCAUUUGUGUGGAUGAUUUGAUGUACUAUAGACCUUAUGACAGGCAGUUUUCAUAUGACAGUGAUGAGAGAACUUACAUUGUUCCCUGUUGUGUUUUUGUUUCAGAUUGGAAUUAACUGCAAACUGUAAAGGUUUUUAAAUGCAGUGAAAUGCUGUGUCUGAAUGUGAAUGUUAAAUGUGGUGUACCUCAAUAAAGUUUUUGCAAUCUUUUC